GCCUAGGUGGCUUAUUCGAAGAGCAUGUGACUCUCGACCUCACGGUUGUGGGUUCAAGCCCCACAUUGGGUG
rnacentral:tRNA from 1 species